rnacentral:rRNA from 1 species
AACGCGAAGAACCUUACCUGGGCUCGAAAUGCAGCUUACAGAGGAUGAAAGUCCUUGCCCUUCGGGGGUGCUGCAUAGGUGCUGCAUGGCUGUUGUCAGCUCGUGCCGUGAGGUGUUGGGUUAAGUCCCGCAACGAGCGCAACCCCUACCAUUAGUUGCUAGCAGGUAAUGCUGAGGACUCUAGUGGAACUGCCCGCGCAAGCGGAGAGGAAGGUGGGUAUGACGUCAAGUCAUCACGGCCCUUACGUCCUGGGCUACACACGUGCUACAAUGGCUAUUACAGAGGGCAGCUACAUAGUAAUAUGAUGCAAAUCUUCAAAAAUAGUCUCAGUUCGGAUUGAGGUCUGCAACUCGACCUCAUGAAGCUGGAUUCGCUAGUAAUCGCGCAUCAGCAAUGGCGCGGUGAAUACGUUCCCGGGCCUUGUACAACCG